UGGUACAAAAGCACAGCAAGCAACCUGGAGCCUGCUGUCUGAACAAGCAUGUGUUGGGAUUAACCUGUUGCCAAACGGCUUCACUGUAUUUUCUGUAGUGCUUCCUGCAGCUGCACCUGACAGUUCUCCAGAAGGCUGACGAGAAGCAGUUAAUGUUAAGCUCACACAUAGAGCGGCGUAGCAGCAUCAGAGAGGAUCCUAAUCGCUUGGAGCCUGGCUCGUGCAGCUUGCUGGUGGCACAGAAGAUCUUCCCCUGCAGACUGGGUCCUGGACAGCAUUCCCAUCCCUGCACCUCCAACUGCCAGUGUCUAGGCUAUGGUUUAGAUACACAAACAUAAGCAACAACUGACCUGAGCAUGGAAAUCAUAA